rnacentral:rRNA from 1 species
AUGCCGGCCCCGCCGCCGCCACGGAGCCAGCCGAAACGCCGGCGGCCGCUUGCUCUCCCCGCGGUCUGCCCGUGCGAGGGCAUCGCGCCGGAGCCGCUCCUCGCCUCCCUAGUUUCGCUCACUGCCGACGUGGCGAGCCGCAGGGCCGGCGAGGCCAGCGCCUUCCCCGUGCUCCGCCGCGGCACCCACCAAGCAGUGCGCCUCGCCGGCCUCCUCCUCGCUUUCCUCGAGGAGAUCCAGGAUGCUGCGGCGACGCUGUCGCACUCCGCCGUGGUCGGUCUCACGGAGCUGCACGUCGCCAUGCAGAAGAUGAGGUUCCUGCUCACGGACUGCGCGCGUCGAGGGGGCCGCCUGUGGGUGCUCGUGAACGCUGAACUCAUAGCGUCUGAGCUCAGGUUGUGUCUGGGAUCCGUCGCGGCGGCCAUGGAUGUGCUGCCGACGAGCAUCGUCGGUGCAUCCGUUGAGUCGGGGGAGCUCGGGCGGCUGGUAUCGGAUCAGGCGUGGCGCGCGGUGGUGCGGCCUGACGCCGGCGACAAACUAGCAGUGCGGAGCAUACGGUCUAUCAUGGAUACCUUUAAGAUGGGCGUCGCGCCGGAGGCGGAUGAUGUGAUGCGGGUGCUCCGCCGGAUCAGGGUCGAAAGCUGGUUCCAGUGCUCCGAGGAGAUCGCUUUCCUAGAUGGCGAGCUCUCCGCGCGGUUCGACGCCGGCGACGAGAACAGCAGCGCGGUGGUCCUCCUCAACAAUCUGAUGGCGUUCCUGGUGUACUGCCGCGUGGUGCUGUUCGAUCACAUUGACUCGAAGCAGUCGGAUGCGACGGCGGCGCGACCGGCGACGUGCCCGGAGUGGAUCAGACCGGAGGCGCUGCAGUGCCCGAUCACACUGGAACUCAUGACCGACCCGGUGACCGUGUCCACCGGCCAGACAUACGACCGCGCGUCCAUCACACGGUGGAUGAAGGCCGGGUGCCGCACGUGCCCAGUCACCGGCGAGAAGCUCCGCACCGCCGACCUCGUGCCGAACGCCGCGCUGUGCGGGAUCAUCGAGCGGAUGCUGCUCAGCAACGGCGUCUCGCUUCCCGAGACGGGCUCCAGGCACCACCACGGCGACGCUGACGGCUCAGCCGCUACAUUCAGUCCGUCGGCCACCGGCGCCGCGCGGCUCGCCAUUAGCUACAUCGUGGCGCAGUUCUCGACGGGGUCGACGGAGGAGCGUAGGAAGGCGACGUCCGAGGCCCGCAAGCUCUCCAAGCACAGCGUGUUCUACCGGGCGCUCUUCGUGGAGGCCAAUGCCGUACCGUGGUUGCUGUGCCUCCUGUCCUGCAUGGACGCGUCCGUGCAGGACAAUGCCGUGGCGUCCCUACUCAACCUCUCCAAGCACCCCGGUGGCCGGACGGCGCUCGUCGAGGCAGGAGGCAUCGGCCUCGUGGUCGACAUCGUCAACGUCGGCUCCAAGGCCGAGACGCAGCAGAACGCCGUGGCCAUUCUCUUCUACCUCUCGUCGAACGCCGAGUACGCCGAGGAGAUUGGCCGGUUCCCGGAGGCCAUACCGACGCUAGUGCGGCUCAUCAAGGAGGGCGCGCACCGAGGCCGGAAGAACGCCAUGGUCAGCCUCUACGGUCUGCUCCAAUCCCCGAGCAACCACGCCAAAGCCGUUGCCGCCGGCGCCGUGGUGGUGCUUGCUGGCCUCCUUUCCAGCGACCGCGACGGCGACCUCGCCUGCGACACCGUCUCGCUGCUGGCGAGGAUCGCCGAGCAGCCGGCGGGCGCACAGGCCGUGCUCGCGCGGGCGGGCCUAGUCGCCCGCCUCGUCGAGUUCCUCGCCGCGUCGGCCUCUCGUUCCGGGAAGGACCACUGCGUGGGGUUGCUGGUCAUGCUGUGCCGGCACGGCGGCGAGAAGGUGGUCGCCCUGCUGGGCCGGAUGCCGGGGCUGAUGGGGUCGCUGCACUCGCUCGUCGCCGACGGCAGCCCGGCGACCUGCAAGAAGGCGCGGUCGCUGAUCAGCAUGAUCCACCGGCAUUACGAGCUGACCAGGCCGUCGUCAUCGCCGGUGCCGCUGCCGGUGCCUACACCGGACGCCGGCGACCGUUUCGUUCGGCUCGUGCUAUAG